UGUUUGAUGUAUGGAUAAUUUGUGAAAAUCAGACACUUAAUUUUAAUGAUUACAAUUAUUCUUUAAUUUUAUUUUUUAACAUAAAUAAAAGAAAGA